GACGAACGCUGGCGGCGUGCCUAACACAUGCAAGUCGAGCGAUGAAACCCUUCGGGGUGGAUUAGCGGCGGACGGGUGAGUAACACGUGGGUAACCUGCCUCAAAGAGGGGAAUAGCCUUCCGAAAGGAAGAUUAAUACCGCAUAAUAUGUUUUGGUCGCAUGACCAGAAUAUCAAAGGAGCAAUCCGCUUUGAGAUGGACCCGCGGCGCAUUAGCUAGUUGGUGAGGUAACGGCUCACCAAGGCGACGAUGCGUAGCCGACCUGAGAGGGUGAUCGGCCACAUUGGAACUGAGACACGGUCCAGACUCCUACGGGAGGCAGCAGUGGGGAAUAUUGCGCAAUGGGGGAAACCCUGACGCAGCAACGCCGCGUGAAUGAUGAAGGCCUUCGGGUUGUAAAGUUCUGUCUUCUGGGACGAUAAUGACGGUACCAGAGGAGGAAGCCACGGCUAACUACG
rnacentral:rRNA from 1 species